rnacentral:rRNA from 1 species
AUACGGAGGGUGCAAGCGUUGUUCGGAAUUACUGGGCGUAAAGGGCGCGUAGGCGGCGAUGUAAGUCAAAUGUGAAAGUCCUCGGCUUAACCGGGGAAGUGCAUCUGAAACUGCAUUGCUUGAGUAUGGGAGAGGAAAGUGGAAUUCCCGGUGUAGAGGUGAAAUUCGUAGAGAUCGGGAGGAAUACCGGUGGCGAAGGCGACUUUCUGGACCAAUACUGACGCUGAGGCGCGAAAGCGUGGGGAGCAAACAGGAUUAGAAACCCCAGUAGUCC